rnacentral:lncRNA from 1 species
AAUUUAGGUAAAUACUCUUGUUUCUUUAGGCAUGACCUCAGUUGGUGUCAAGAUUUCAAAAGCCCAUGUAAUACGUCACACAUUCCUGACUCAAAAUCCUCGCCUCCCAUGUAAAGGGGUUGCACGUUACAAGGAGCCUGGAAGAAACGGCCGGGGCACACUCUGAAGAUUUUUCAGGAUGCUGAUGUAUUUGAAGUAGAGGAUGAGUGGCAUGGUGCGGUGUGAAGUCAUGCAGGUGGGAGGUUACCUCCGAGAGACUCUCAAGCAGGGGAAGAAGAAAGACCCCAGGCAUGGAUGAAACCAGCAGAGCAGGGAGCCAACACGAAACAGGGUUGCUGGGCAAAGUGGGGCCUGACCACGAGAUGGGAGCAAGGAGUUCAGGAUUGGAAAGGAACCCGAAUUGAAUACUUCGGCCACCGCAAGCGGGAAGUGGUAAAUUAAGAAAAAUAAAUCCUGAUGAUAAUGAAUUUAUUCGGCUGUA